GCUGCAUGUCGUUAUGUCGCUCUACAAUUUUUCCGAUUUUUUAAUGGAAAAAGUGAUUUUUCUGUACACUAUUUGAGCGUAUUCUGUUCUUUAAGGCCUGUUUAAUCUCCUGAAAAUGAGGUGUCACCCCUUGUAUAAACCUGAUGUUUGGGCAUCAUUCUGUUUUACAAGUUGGUCUUCCAUUUACUGAUUAAAAGUUUUGUACAACAAAUCGAUGGAUGUAUACAGUUCCAGGGCAGUACAUUUAUCUUUUUAUUCUUAAUCUAAGCAUUUAUCCCAUUUUCGUGAAUAUUACCAUCAACAAUGCAUCAGGACUUCUAAGUAUAUCUAGAAUUUUAUUUUUUUUUGGGUAAAUAAAUAUAUUUUUACUGAUUUUUAAAGCUCAUCAGCGCAUUUCAUCAUUUUUAAAUUUAAUUAUGUAGGAGAAAAAAUCCAGUUGGUCUCUGAGUUAUAUAUUUAUGGUUCCUUAUUAUCAUAGACCAUCUAUUUUUAUUUGGGGCCAUAUUUUGACUUUUAGCAACUUCUUUUUCUUUUUGGUAGAAUACCAUCUACUUAGAACCUCAUGUUGUUUUUGGUUUACUUUCAUUUCAUAAUAGCUUGACUCCCAUAUUUUCUUGAUUGUGGAAAUAAUAUCAUCAAUUCUAUGCAAUAAUUCCAUUGACUGUAUUUCUGUAGUUCUUAUUAAUUUGGUAAAAUAUACCAUGUACUUAGAAUUUUACUUCAUUUUGUGCAUGGUUAAUUAUCAUUCUUUGUUAUACCUUGCCUCCCAUAUUUAAUUGUUUGUGGCAAUAAUAAAAUUAGAAAAGUAAAACACUUAUUACUUUUCUAAUUUUUUGCACAGAUAUUUAGUUUUAAUGGAUUCAUUUUUAUCUCAUUGUUACAGAUGAUAUAUCAUGAAUUGCUGUAAUUUUACAGACGCUGUUGGUUUGGUGUGCCUGUGUUUUCAAAUUUCAAAAUAAGGACUAAUUUCCAAUUAAUUUCUGGCGCAUUCGCCAUUUAUUCAAAAAUCUGUCUCUACAGCUUAUAUCACUUCUCGCAUUAUUUCCAAUGUAUUUUCCUAAGUAACAUCGACUCCAGAGCAUCAUAGCUAGCCUCCCCGAAGAGGAGGAGACCCGGGUCACCCCCUAACCCGGUUGUUCGGGCAUCGAUGACCUAUGUAGCAUGCAUAGGUACCCAAGGGAGUCACCACCCUCUGGUUUACGAGCUAGGUGUUCUAACGCUAGAGGCUUCGGCCGGAUACGACCUGGCACCCAAGCUACGAGACUUCUUCGUGCACGUAUCCCGUGACGUCUCGACAGUAGAGGGGACGGGAUAUCGGACACAUUGAAGAUGAUGAGGGGGGUCCGCCUGUAGGGGGUCCCGGUGGAUGUCCGCUCGAUGGGUGACGAGGGUGACCCGAGACGAGGCUGCUUAGCUGGGAUGGGAACUGACUGGUGAGGCUUAAUCGUCGGCCAAGGGUUAAAUCUGAUGAAGGGGGGCGAACCUAUAUGCUCUGGAGGUUUUUUUCUUUAUGUGCUUUACGUCAAAUAUUGACUAGACAUUUCUGAGAGGAGGAUAAUAAUAACUUUUUGUCAGUUUUCCAGUUCUGAUUGACCAAAUACUUCUUUAUUUUUUUCUUAUGCUUUUGGCCCACCUCUGUUAUACAGUUUUUGUCUGCUAUAUUUUCUUUGUUAUUGCAAUAUCGUCAUUCAUUACUUCUAUAAAUUCUUCCAGUAAUAGUCUUAUUUGUAUGUUUUUUUGUCAUUCUUCUGUGACUUUUCGAGCACAUAUUUUGUCAGUUCUAUUGCCUGUAUAUAGCAUUAUAGCUUUUUUAUUUAUUUUUAUGCCAUUUUUUCUUAAUUCAUUCCUCAUUUUUUUCGUCUAUCCAAUUCAUCAUAUCUUUGUUUCACUAUUUGUCUUCCAUAUUGUCUUCAUUAUGGGAAUAUGCCAUCAUUCAUCAAUUCUAUAAACUCUUCCACUGAUUGUAUUUCUAAGUCUUCUUAUAUGUAUAUAAUUACAUAUAUAAUUUUUGUGUUACUCUUCGGAAACUUAAGUUCAUUACUCAUACGUUUUUUUUUUCAAUUCCACAUGCCUCUAUUUCUGUAUUUGUCUCUCAUAUUAUUCUCUUCAAGAAUGAAGUACCCAAGGGAGUCACCACCCUCUGGUUUACGAGCUAGGUGUUCUAACGCUAGAGGCUUCGGCCUGAUACGACCUGGCACCCAAGCUACGAGACUUCUUUGUGUAAAUUAUCAAUCAUCAUUUACUUAUAUAUAUUUUUGUUGUAUUGGGCCAUUCUGUGGCAAUACUUCUCUAAAGCAUUUUCUUUAUUGUCUAUUGCAAGGUUAUUGCCUAUAUAGUAAUUUUUGAAUCAUUUUCAUGACUUUCCGUUCAUCAUAUACUCAUCAUUCAGAAUAAAACUAAAUUUAUUUUUUUCUAUGUUGGUUAAUUGUAAUUCUAAACUUCUUCUAUUUGUAUUAUUGUUUAUUUUACUGCUAUUCUUCUAAGACUUCCAAGUCUUUGAUCUCAUUUCUAUUGAUGCCUACAUAAAUUGUAUAAUUUUGGAUUCAUUUUCUUGUCGAUUUUCUUUUCAUUCCUUUUAAAAUUGAGCUUUUGUAUGCGAUAUUGUACUGCUUUGGAACAAGGAAUUUUUGGGACAGCUGCCGUUCAACCACCGUGUUCAAUAUGUCAAGAUAGUUGAAGUAAAUUCAACAUUCAACAGCGGAUUAAGAAUGAAAUUCAUCAUUGAAAGGGAAACUAAAUAAUUUUAGAAUCAAGACUUUCCAGAAGGCUUUCUAGAAGAUUUAUUUAUUUCCACAUAUCCAGAGACAUCGGCAAUCAGCAUAUUCUUCAAUACCUUGGAGUUUUAACAUAUACUUUUUUAUUCACUCUUAAUAAAAUGUUUUAUGUUAGUAAACAAAAAUGAAGGGUCUAGGGGAAAAAGUGCCAAUUUCUUUAUUUUAGGAUUUUACAAUAUUAUAGUAGGUUUAACUGGCCCCUACAAAAUGUAUAAAUUGUGCAGGGCAAUAAGUUACCGGAAUCCUAUGAUAUAUGCCUAGUAAAAAUAUAGAAUACACGGCAAUAACCUGAUAGCUACCAGCCGUCCCAGUGCUCUCCUGUAAAAUUACUGAAAUGGUGCCAGCGAGUUUUUACCCUGGACCCUUCAAAUUAUAUUUUAGCUGUAGUUUAAAAUAUUGUUUAUAAUUUGGAAAAAUUCCUAGUGUAAGAAUAUGUUUUACUAUAUUUCUUUUAAUUAUAGAUAAAAAAUUAAGUAUGUAAACAUAACUGCCGUGUUAACGUAAAACUUCUUAUCUGAUUUGUUGAACAAGUUUAGAUCUUUCUGAUUUAUAUUUCUAAAUAAGGUAUACUUUUUAUCUCAAUCCUAGUUAAGGCAUUUUUUCUUAACACAGCGAUGACUAAGAAAUGAAGAUGGCUGUCAUUUUAUAUGUAAAAUUAUAUGGGGAAUGUCAUCGAUGUUCAUUUCUAAGCCAACUGGACGCCGUUUUUUUCCGAUCAUACAUACAGUACUAGUGUAAAGAAAUUCAUGUAGCCUUGUAAAUGUAAUGAAGAUACUUUUGAAGGAUUAAAGUCCAUAGUUUAUAACUUAUAUUGUGUAGAAUUAGAAUAUAAUAUAAAUAAAAGCAUUAGGAAUUAAUUAUUAGACUCAUUAUAUAGCAUUUAUUUACCCU
rnacentral:lncRNA from 1 species